AUUGAACGCUGGCGGCAGGCCUAACACAUGCAAGUCGAGCGGAGCGGCGGACGGGCGAGUAAUGCCUAGGAAUCUGCCUGGUCGUGGGGGAUAACGUCCGGAAACGGGCGCUAAUACCGCAUACUAUCAGAUGAGCCUAGGUCGGUUUAGCUAGUUGGUGGGGUAAAGGCCUACCAAGGCUACGAUCCGUAACUGGUCUGAGAGGAUGAUCAGUCACACUGGAACUGAGACACGGUGCAGAGGCCUACGGUAGGCAGAAGUGGGGAAUAUUGGGCAAUGGGAGAAAGCCUGAUCCAGCCAUGCCGCGUGUGUGAAUAAGGUCUUCGGGUUGUAAAGCACUAAAAGUUGGGAGGCGUUACCAACAGAAGAAGCACCGGCUAACUACGUGCCAGCAGCCGCGGUAAUAC
rnacentral:rRNA from 1 species